ensembl:lncRNA
CACAUCCCCUGCUCAGAUGGCCUGUCCUGAUUUUGCUCCUGGUGAAGUCUUGAUAUGUUGUCCAGACUAACCAUGAACUCCUAGGCUCAAGAGAUCCUUCUACCUCAGCCCUCUGAGCAAGUGACUGUGCCAGUGCACCUGCUUGAGCUAGUUAUUAUUAUUAUCUCCAUUCUAGACAAGGUCUCACUAUGUAAUUCAGGCUGGCGUUGAACUCAUUACGUAGUCCAGGCUGGGCUCAAACUUGUGGUGAUCCUCCUGCUUCAGCUUCCUGAGUACUGGGAUUACAGAUGUGCACCAUCACACCCGGCUAUCAUAAUUUUCUAUGGUAGCCCAUGCUGUAUUUCCCAGACACAACGUGUAUAUUUAUCUUUGCUCUUGCCCUCUUAUU